AUCACAUGAAUCCCUUUCAAGUCACGCAUGACAUGUUACUCUCUCUUACACUGCUCCCCUGAUACAAUAUCACGCUUUGUUUUGCUCUCCUCUCUUACUCUUCCUCUCCAUCUCUGUGACAAAGGUCAGUCCCCAAACACAAUGGCUGCUGGCAGCUGGUGGCCUGACUCACUGCCAAACCACUCGACCCUGCAGCUUAUCGGAGGAAGAUGGUCCACUUCUAUGCUGUCUGCCAUGUUACACCGCUAUGUUUCUACAGAAGCCCAGAAAGGACAAACUAAACCCUAAAGACAGCAGCAAACGUAGGUUCUCCAACACACUUGGAAGGGGAAGGUAAGUAACGGGUGUUCAAUUGGUUGCCAUUUGCAACCUCACUGCUACGUGCCACUAAAUCCAGCACACUGGACCUUUAAGGUUAGGGAACCAUGAUUUUGAAUAAUGUUGACUGUCGAUUAGAAACAAGACAUGACCAGCAGUCUCCUGUAAGUCUGAAGUUUUAUUGACCCAUACAUCAAUGGCAACUUUCUCCCUCUGCAGACUUUGUUACUCUUUAGCAACUUCACCUUACCUUCCUCCUUGACGUCAGCAUGUGUCUGUUAGAGGAAAAUUUUGCUGUAUUAAAUGUCAGGGACUGUAAUAGCCAGCAAUAAAUCAUACUGCUCUUACGUAAUAUGAGUUUGCUUCACCUCUAAAACAUCUAAUGGAAACUACUGUUUUGUACUAUAAUGUGUUAUCUCUGCUCUUUUUCUGUCUCCCUCUCUUAUUUGGAAUGAAUCACUCACAUGAGAGGAACUGAAGUGGCACUUCACUCUAAAAACAAACUCCUCUCUCCCUUUGGCGCCGGUGUUUACAGACGAGCUGUUUGUGGCCCAGAUGCAGAUCACAAAUCGUUGUUGUUAAAUGAAAACCUGAUGUCCCUUAUUGCCGAUAGUCAUAUGAAAAUCAUUAUAUCCAACGGAAGAAUUACGCACUCAUCUGAAAACUGAGGCCAUCUUCAAUCUUACGAAACACUAAUAAAUCAAGUUGCAUAAACC
rnacentral:lncRNA from 1 species